rnacentral:misc_RNA from 1 species
GUAGGUGAACCUGCGGAGGGAUCAUUAACACGCUCCAAACCAACUUAUCAACCCAACCGUGAACUCUUCGUCUCUGCCUGCUGCCACUGCCGGCGCUGACGGUGCGCGCUGAGACCCUGGAUGAAGGUGAAGGGAGAAUACGGCUGCCCUCUCUCGAGAGGUGCGGUCCUCCCUUCACACGGGUCGAGCUGCGCUUUCAUGGCUCCUCCUGGAGGUCAGCCGUCCCGGUGGUGGCGAGGCCCAACACAUA